UCAGAACGGAGGAAAAUUUUGUUAACACAAGUUGAAGAGGUUCAUCGAACUCGAGCGUUGCAACGGGCUUCUCGUAAGAGACGUGGUGGAUCACAUGGUCAAGGUUUACCUACUGUUGCUGUUGUUGGCUAUACAAAUGCCGGGAAAUCAACUUUAGUCAGUGCACUCUCAGACAGUCCUCUCUAUAGUGAUGACCGACUCUUUGCAACUGUGGAUCCGACUGUAAGAAGUGCAGUUCUUCCUUCAGGAAGGAAAGUGCUCCUAAGUGAUACAGUAGGAUUCAUAUCAGAUUUGCCAGUGCAGGUAUAUUGUAAAACC